GCCAGUGUGGCAGAGUGGUUUGAGCAUUGGACUAUGACUCUGAAAACCAGGGUUCGAACCUCCACUUGGCCA